UACGUAGGGGGCAAGCGUUACCCGGAUUACUGGGCGUAAAGCGCGUGUAGGCGGCUGGCCAAGCGUGGUGUGAAAUCUCCAGGCUCAACCUGGAAACUGCACUGCGAACUGGUCUGGCUGGAGUGCAGGAGAGGGAUGCGGAAUUCCCGGUGUAGCGGUGAAAUGCGUAGAUAUCAGGAGGAACACCUGUGGUGUAGACAGCUUACUGGACCAUUUCUGACGCUGAGACACGAAAGCGUGGGUAGCAAACAGG
rnacentral:rRNA from 1 species